rnacentral:lncRNA from 1 species
CAAUAUCAUCAAUGUCUUCAACACAAUGUUUAGUCGAGGUUUUUUUUCAAUUGUCCUUAAAGGUUCAUACAAGACUUGAUAUUUUUCUUUAGAUUGGUGAAUUUUUUUUUUCAUGACAUUAAAGUAGUAAGCGAUAAUGAUGAAAGUUCAACAUAGACGACCCAACUUCUAGAAGUCCACCUGUGGUGAAAAGUCAAAAAAGUAUGUCCAUGACUUAGAAGUAGGGGGUGGAGGAUGAAGAUGAAUCUCAUUAGUAUCAUGUUCAGAUCUUGUAGACAAGUUACUUGAGGUAGACCUAG